rnacentral:rRNA from 1 species
AGCGAACGCUGGCGGCAGGCCUAACACAUGCAAGUCGAACGGACCCUUCGGGGUUAGUGGCGGACGGGUGAGUAACACGUGGGAACGUGCCUUUAGGUUCGGAAUAGCUCCUGGAAACGGGUGGUAAUGCCGAAUGUGCCCUUCGGGGGAAAGAUUUAUCGCCUUUAGAGCGGCCCGCGUCUGAUUAGCUAGUUGGUGAGGUAAUGGCUCACCAAGGCGACGAUCAGUAGCUGGUCUGAGAGGAUGACCAGCCACAUUGGGGCUGAGACACGGCCCAAACUCCUACGGGAGGCAGCAGUGGGGAAUCUUGCGCAAUGGGCGAAAGCCUGACGCAGCCAUGCCGCGUGGAUGAUGAAGGUCUUAGGAUUGUAAAAUCCUUUCACCGGUGAAGAUAAUGACUGUAGCCGGAGAAGAAGCCCCGGCUAACUUCGUGCCAGCCGCCGCAGUAACAC